CUUUUUUUUUUUUUUUAAGGGUAAAUUUCAAAUACCAUCCCUGUGGUAUCGCAUUUUCUUACUUUAGUACUAUGUGGUUUAAAGUGUAUCAAUUUAGUACCCGUGGUUUCAAUUUUCUCUUUUCAUCGGCUCCUCCGUUAAUAAUAUUUCGUUAAAUUAUAUACAAAAAAAUUUCAGAUACUCCACUUAGGUUUAUCGAAUAUUUACUUUAGUAAUUUUUAGUUUUAACUUUGUUACUGAUUUAAUGAAAAAAAAUAGUGGAGGGAAUAAUAAAAAAAAAUUGAAACCACGGAGUACUAAAUUGAUACACUUUAAACCACAUGAUACUAGUGAGAAAGUGCGAAACCACAGGGUGGCAUUUGAAGUUUUUCUUUUUUUUAAUGUUCAAAAUUUACCUAAACUAUAAAUUAUUUUGAGUCGGCUACCCAGCCUUUCAAAAAUUUUGAUUUACUGUCCAACCUUUUAAUUUGUUUAAUUUAAAUCGGUCAAUGACACUUUGGUUUUAAAAUUUUGAUGUAUCGUUUAUCUUUACAUAUGUAGUUAGUAUAUUAUAAAUAAUUUUCACAAUUAUAAUUUUUUUAAAGAAUAAGUAAGUAUUUUAAUUUUAAAGUUAAAUUUUAUUGACCGACUCAAAUUAAAUAAAUUGAAAGAUUAGACAGUAAAAUCGAAAUUUUGAAAGGUUAAGUAACCAACUAAAAGUAGUUUCUAAUUCAAAUAAGUUCUUUACAAUUUUAUUUAUUUUUU
rnacentral:lncRNA from 1 species